GAAAUAUUAGCUCAGAUGGUAGAGCACAAUACUUUUAAUAUUGGGGUCAUAGGUUCGAGUCCUAUAUGUUUCA
rnacentral:tRNA from 1 species